rnacentral:rRNA from 1 species
GAUGAACGCUGGCGGCGUGCCUAAUACAUGCAAGUCGAGCGAAGCGGGGACGGGUGAGUAACACGUGGAUAACCUCCUAUAAGACUGGGAUAACUUAGGGAAACCGGAGCUAAACCGGAUAAUUAUAGAUGGAUCCGCGCUGCAUUAGCUAGUUGGUAAGGUAACGGCUUACCAAGGCAACGAUGCAUCGCCGACUGGAGAGGGUGUUCGGCCACACGGGAACGGAGACACGGUCCAGACGCCGACGGGAGGCAGCAGUAGGGAAGCUUCCGCAAUGGGCGAAAGCCUGACGGAGCAACGCCGCUUGUGUGAUGAAGGUCUUCGGUUCGUAAAACUCUUUUAUUAGGGAAGCGGUACCUAAUCAGAAAGCCACGGCUAACUACGUGCCAGCAGCCGCGGUAAUUC